AAAAUUUUUUUAAUACGCGGUUUUUUUGUUUUUUUUUUGCAACGGUGCAGUCUACAUGUGAAGAACAUUUAAGAACAAACAUUCCAGUUCUGACCAGUGAAACACGUGCGUCGAUACUGGUGAGUUCCUUGCAACCGGUAUUUCCAUUUUUGAUUCCAUUACAUGAACAUUGCCUCUUUUCAAGUCCAUGCACGUUUUGUUCUUAGCGAUAAGUAAUUGUUUCUGCAUGCCACUUAAUCAGCCAAUUAUGUUCAUUUAAAUUCUACGGAUGAUUAACCAGUGGUAAUUUUUUUCAAAUGGUUUUUCAUAAAUUUUCUUCGUGCGUUUCUCUUUGGUCCACAGUUAGAGCCCCGCCUCCUUUCUUCACGUCGGCCACGAAAUCUCUUUUGCUUUCCUGAAUAAUUUCCUAGACAUGGAUCUAACACUAACAGUCAAUCAACGUAACAGUUUUGUUGAGUAUUUACAUUUAAAAUGAACUACGUACUUAGACGUAAAGUAGUCAAGAUAUGCAAAAGAUAGUUAGAAAUUGUUCGUUCGCUUAAAUGUUACAGUCAUUUCGAGAACUGUUUCCUCAUCGAUACAGUCUACCCCAUAGAUAUGAUUGAUAUCGUGAUGGGAAGUUGGGAACACCUGGUUAAAGCACCAGUUGGAAACAAUCUGAAAAUACAACCCCAUUUUACAUUUUAUUCGAAGCAAUGCGGUGCAUCAACUGAUACGUUAAAUUGGAAUCUUUUUUCCAUCUAGUCACUUGAAACACCCAACAAUUUUACCUCACUUAACCGUGUAACGUUAAAUCAGAAAGCUUCAACAUUAUGUGGGAGGCAGUUAAUCUCUAUCGGAUUUUCUUUUAUUUAACCCGUGCAUGAGACUACAGGAUGAACUGUCCCUUUUGGCAGGUGACUCUCUCAGCAACGUUUCCGUAUAAAAUGUUUCGGAGUCUCUUGAUUUGCGGAAUCCACAACAAUUUACGGAAUGAAGUCCAUUUCGACAGGGGAUCACGAGUGAUGAAAAAUGGAUGUGGUGGGCAAACCCAAAAGCCGAAAUCUUAGUUAACAAAUUAAUGUCUACAACGUUCCUGAAGGCCAAGAAAUUUCUAUGCCGAGUGCAUAUGAUUUACAUCACCUCAGCAACGGAAAACGGUUUAACCAGUGCGUAAAGACAUUCUGGAGUGGCGUGCCAACGAUGCAAUAUUCUCGUGUCGAGUGAAAUCAAUUGACUGGUGGGGAAGCGGGAUUACGUAUUAUUCGUUCUGAAAAGCAGCAUUUCCCUACUUUUACUUCCUGAAUGUGCUCAACGCGGACGCGAUAUUUGCCUGAGGCUCUUUUCAGCACCUUGAUCAAACAGUAACGUUGAAAGACCGGUUUGGAUUAUUCUUCUGCGACGGAGAUGUUUUAAUCCGGACGCGCUUCAGGUCUACAUUGACGUUAGAGGUUGGCAUUCAAUUGUGAAAAAUGCUAUCGAGCUUAAAUUAGGAAAUAUCCAGUGAAUUAACUACGGAACAGUCGUCGGCUGUAACCACCUAAGGUCAAUCUUAGCUGAGAGAAACAGAGUAACGUAUCACCUGGAGCGUCAUAAAAAGGAGGAGCAGGCAGCUGUAAUAAUGGGCCGAAGUGAUGGUUUGCUGGCUGGGCGUGCCAGACGUUGUGGACCGAGCUUCGAUUAUCACCUGGAAAAUGAGAAGAAGAAAAAAGGUUUUUCAGGAGAACUGGGCACGACUUCGUCUCGAACGAAAACUUGGCAUUGGAAUAUGCCUCCAUCUUGAACUUCGGCUCUGUCAAUCUAAACAAGCUUUUUACGAUGAGUGUAGAAGUUCGUGUGUCCUCCUGGAACGCAAGACGCAGUCGGGGAUUGGUAUCGAUCAAUAAAGUGUCACCGUGCGAGAUAACCUCCUGGUUGGACGGAUCUAUUGAAUUCAUUUGAGGUGGGCAAAG
rnacentral:lncRNA from 1 species